ACAAGGGGCGCAUUCUGUUUUUCAACAUGUAUUUAAUAUUUAUAAAUUAUUUUUUAUUUAAAAAUUUAAUAUAAUAAAAAUUAAAUCUAUCAAAAUAGAUCGGUCCGAUCCAACCUAUAAAGAUCUAAAAUUUGAUAGAUCAGACCGAAUUAGAUCUAUUCAAAAAAUGAGACAGCCUAUAGUUGGUCCAACUCAAUCAUUUAAGAACCGCGGGUCGGAUAGGGUCAGCCCAUCACUGCUGAUUAAAUUUGGAUUAUAGAGCCUGAAGAGAGAUCGAGAGAGCCUGAGAGGGAGAGAGAGCCUCGAGCUUGAAGAGUGGAGAGAGAUCGAAAGAGCCCAAAGGGAGGCAAAGAUUGAGCAUCAGCGCAUUGCCGUCGAUGCCACGACCGGAUCGAAGAGCCUGGAGCUUGGAGAGGGAAUGAGAUUGAGACGAGAUCAGAGGAUGUGGCGAUCAAUGGGCGAAAAGGAGGAGGGGGCGUACGGCGUACCUCUUAUGAUCGGAUCUGACUCAUCGCGAUCAGAUCUGGCUCAGAGGUGGCGGUGCCGGCAACGAGGAGGAGGAAAAGGAAGGGGUUGCCCGAAAGUUGGAUGAGGGACGGGAUGUCCGUCGGUAGAAGGGAGGAGGGGCGUAUUAUGAUUGGACUCAGAGGUCGAAGGCGGCGACACCGGCGACAAGGAGG
rnacentral:lncRNA from 1 species